AGGACUUGAGAUAUCCACUACUAUCAAAAAUUCGACGCUGGAAAGAAAAGGGGAUGAUGUUAGCUCCUACUUUCUGAGGGAUAAGGAGAUCGUGGUAUUUUUCCGGGGCUUUUUUCCGUAUGUAUUUUUCUGCCAUCACGCGCCUCCGCUGUCGUAGUUCCAUACCCUUCUUGGUCAUUUGAAACGCAGGCCAGCCACGCUCGAGUAGAAAGAAGAUCAGAAACCUAUGCACUCGCAUUGUGAGUGGAAUAUACCGGAAUAUCCACUUCAUCCAUGAUGAAUAGCGGGGGUUGA
rnacentral:sRNA from 1 species